GGGCCUAUAGCUCAGCUGGUUAGAGCAGUGGACUCAUAAUCCAUUGGUCAGUGGUUCGAAUCCACUUGGGCCCACCA
rnacentral:tRNA from 1 species